rnacentral:lncRNA from 1 species
GAUAAGUGCUAAAUUUCAGUGAUUUUACCUAUACAUUUUAAGCACUUAUUGACUUAUUUUAUAAGUCAUUUGAUGUAAAACCCUCAACUAUUUGUAAAUAUUAGUAUUUACUAGCAAAUUAGUAUUUUAACUAUUUUCACAUAUUUUCCCUUACUUUUGUAGGUUUUAGCUAUUAUAUAUUAAUUAUAUAAGAUACAUAUUAUUAUAUUAUGAUUAAUGUUUAUUUAUGUGUUAAUAGAUCAAAAAAGAAGUGCAAGGAUACAAUUACAAGUAGGCUUAAAAAGAAAAAGGAAACAAUGCGGUCCAAUUGGAAAAGAGGAGCAGAGAGUUAAGUUGCAGACACCACCGUUUUGCUUUCUUAAUACAAAAGGAAUUGCAUACUUAAGUGAUAUAUUAGAAAAAUCCUAUAAAAGC